AAUAAUACAUGACAAAAUCCGUAUCAUAUGCCGUAUCAUCCCGAGAUACCAAUAUCAGCCAGAGGGCCUUUAGGCCCGAGGGAUGAUAUUGGUCGAGGGUGAUACGGCGUGUGAUACGGAUUUUGACAUGUAUUAUU
rnacentral:sRNA from 1 species